rnacentral:lncRNA from 1 species
AGGCCGGGAAGCUGGGACUUGAGCUGGUCUGCAUUCGGGCAAGGCACAGCCCCCCACCAGCACCUUAUGAUUUCACAGAAGACAAAAGCCAGCAGACUGUGUGGGCUGUCUGCCCUGAGAGUUCCAAGGCGAGGCUCCGGAGCAGCCAGCCGUGAACCCCAACUGCAGUUCGGGAAGCUGCUUUCGGGGAGGGGCAGGGAGGGGAGGGGGAUUCUCGGAGCAGGCAGGC